rnacentral:rRNA from 1 species
CGCGGUAAUUCCAGCUCCAAUAGCGUAUACUAAAGUGUUGCAGUUAAAAAGCUCGUAGUUGGAUUUCUGGCGGGGACGGCUGGUCGGUCUCGAAAGGGGCUGUACUGUUGUUGGUUCCCGUCAUCCUUGGGGAGAGCGGCUCUUACAUUAAGUUGUCGGCGUCGGGAUCCCUAUCUUUUACUGUGAAAAAAUUAGAGUGUUCAAAGCAGGCUUAGGCCCUGAAUACAUUAGCAUGGAAUAAUAAGAUACGACCUUGGUGGUCUAUUUUGUUGGUUUGCACGCCAAGGUAAUGAUUAAUAGGGAUAGUUGGGGGUAUUCGUAUUCAAUUGUCAGAGGUGAAAUUCUUGGAUUUAUGGAAGGCGAACUACUGCGAAAGCAUUUACCAAGGAUGUUUUCAUUAAUCAAGAACGAAAGUUAGGGGAUCGGAGAUGAUUAGAUACCAUCGUAGUCUUAACCAUAAACUAUGCCGACUAGGGAUCGGUGGGUGCAUUUUUAGGCCUCAUCGGCACCUUAUGAGAAAUCAAAGUCUUUGGGUUCCGGGGGGAGUAUGGUCGCAAGGCUGAAACUUAAAGAAAUUGACGG